ensembl:lincRNA
UUCAGACAUGUUUCAACCUACUAUUUACACGAAAUUUAAUUUGUAUAUUUAAGAUUUGCUCCAUAGAGAAUCUGUUUCAGUUCUUUUCUUUCCCACAGGACUCUUAAUUGCUCUAUCACCUCCAUGUGGUGCUUCUCCAGCCAUGACUCAACGACUUUAAAUGACUGUAUUUAUUUUAAGAGAAACUUUAGUGCCUAUAAAAACAGCAUGUUCUCCUGCAGCACAUCUGUUCUCUCUCUGAGUUUUAUAUCAUCACUUUGCCAGAGGUUUUACUUGAUAGUUCAAGGGAGCUUGGUGUGCUCUGAUUCAACUGGAUUCUUAUUGGCAAAAGACAGUAUUUCACAAAGUUGAAUGUACAGAAAGCCCUGUGACAACUCCUGGAAGUUUUCCAUCUGAAUAUGUGCAUCUCUAUUUUUUGUGUAGUACAAGUUUAGCUCAAUAUUGAGCUAAGAACAAGGAAGAACUAUCUCUUGCAACUUCUGCUUCUCUUCAUCCUCAAAAACAUCCUCCUAGUUCAACCUCUGAUUACUUGUGCUAAGCCAAUUGUACCAGAUUCCUCUCACUUAAGAGAACUACAAAUUGGUUAGAUUUGACAAUAAGCCAGCUUUGCCCAGAGUGAAAGGUAAGCCAGUUCAGUAAGUAAAAAAUACAGAAUUCUGAGCCAUAAUCAAAAAGGAAUACCCGUUAUAUCUUUUAAAAUGUAUGUGUCCACA